AUUGAACGCUGGCGGCAGGCCUAACACAUGCAAGUCGAACGGUAACAGAAAGCAGCUUGCUGCUUUGCUGACGAGUGGCGGACGGGUGAGUAAUGUCUGGGAAACUGCCUGAUGGAGGGGGAUAACUACUGGAAACGGUAGCUAAUACCGCAUAACGUCGCAAGACCAAAGAGGGGGACCUUCGGGCCUCUUGCCAUCGGAUGUGCCCAGAUGGGAUUAGCUUGUUGGUGGGGUAACGGCUCACCAAGGCGACGAUCCCUAGCUGGUCUGAGAGGAUGACCAGCCACACUGGAACUGAGACACGGUCCAGACUCCUACGGGAGGCAGCAGUGGUGAAUAUUGCACAAUGGGCGCAAGCCUGAUGCAGCCAUGCCGCGUGUAUGAAGAAGGCCUUCGGGUUGUAAAGUACUUUCAGCGGGGAGGAAGGGAGUAAAGUUAAUACCUUUGCUCAUUGACGUUACCCGCAGAAGAAGCACCGGCUAACUCCGUG
rnacentral:rRNA from 1 species